UGACAGCCCCGUACACAAAAAUGCACAUGCUGUGAGCUCGAUGAGUAGGGCGGGACACGUGGUAUCCUGUCUGAAUAUGGGGGGACCAUCCUCCAAGGCUAAAUACUCCUGACUGACCGAUAGUGAACCAGUACCGUGAGGGAAAGGCGAAAAGAACCCCGGCGAGGGGAGUGAAAAAGAACCUGAAACCGUGUACGUACAAGCAGUGGGAGCACGCUUAGGCGUGUGACUGCGUACCUUUUGUAUAAUGGGUCAGCGACUUAUAUUCUGUAGCAAGGUUAACCGAAUAGGGGAGCCGAAGGGAAACCGAGUCUUAACUGGGCGUUAAGUUGCAGGGUAUAGACCCGAAACCCGGUGAUCUAGCCAUGGGCAGGUUGAAGGUUGGGUAACACUAACUGGAGGACCGAACCGACUAAUGUUGAAAAAUUAGCGGAUGACUUGUGGCUGGGGGUGAAAGGCCAAUCAAACCGGGAGAUAGCUGGUUCUCCCCGAAAGCUAUUUAGGUAGCGCCUCGUGAAUUCAUCUCCGGGGGUAGAGCACUGUUUCGGCAAGGGGGUCAUCCCGACUUACCAACCCGAUGCAAACUGCGAAUACCGGAGAAUGUUAUCACGGGAGACACACGGCGGGUGCUAACGUCCGUCGUGAAGAGGGAAACAACCCAGACCGCCAGCUAAGGUCCCAAAGUCAUGGUUAAGUGGGAAACGAUGUGGGAAGGCCCAGACAGCCAGGAUGUUGGCUUAGAAGCAGCCAUCAUUUAAAGAAAGCGUAAUAGCUCACUGGUCGAGUCGGCCUGCGCGGAAGAUGUAACGGGGCUAAACCAUGCACCGAAGCUGCGGCAGCGACGCUGAUGCGUUGUUGGGUAGGGGAGCGUUCUGUAAGCCUGCGAAGGUGUGCUGUGAGGCAUGCUGGAGGUAUCAGAAGUGCGAAUGCUGACAUAAGUAACGAUAAAGCGGGUGAAAAGCCCGCUCGCCGGAAGACCAAGGGUUCCUGUCCAACGUUAAUCGGGGCAGGGUGAGUCGACCCCUAAGGCGAGGCCGAAAGGCGUAGUCGAUGGGAAACAGGUUAAUAUUCCUGUACUUGGUGUUACUGCGAAGGGGGGACGGAGAAGGCUAUGUUGGCCGGGCGACGGUUGUCCCGGUUUAAGCGUGUAGGCUGGUUUUCCAGGCAAAUCCGGAAAAUCAAGGCUGAGGCGUGAUG
rnacentral:rRNA from 1 species